rnacentral:tRNA from 1 species
GCAAUGGUGGUUUGGUGGUAGAAUUUUCACUUUCCAUGAAGGAGACCCAGGUUCAAUUCCUGACCAACGCA